UAAUGCCAUCUCUUCCGGGAAGUCUUUCCUGCUCUCCUUCACACUUCUUUGAUAUUUAGCUGCACUUUUCUUGCGGCACCUCUUGUUUACUUAGGAAGCAUCCAAGAGCCCGACCAGCCAGGAAGGUCGCUCUGGACAGAGAGGGGCACAUUCAUCCAAGUCCAUCCCAACCCCUAGCCCUCACGCGGCCAGGCGGACAAGUGCAAUAAACAAUGUUGGUUCGCUCCAUCAAUAGUUCUUCCCCGAAACGGAAACCCAGGGCACAACUGCCUCCGACGAAACCACCGGGAUAACCGUCGUCCUGAGGUCCGAGAGCGGGCGAGAACUCCUCCGAGUCUGUUGUAAAACGCCUGCCCCAACCCUGAAGAUGGAGCCGCCAGGAAACUAAGUGACGGAAAAGGGGGUUCCGCCCCCCGGCCCGCGCCACCCCUGACGUUCGCCUCGCCCUCCGAUUGGUUGCUCCUUGCACAUGACCCGCUGGCCGCCGCGGGAUUGGUUGUCUGGCAGAGGCCGCAGUGGGUGGUGGGAUGCCGGCGGACCCUGGAGGCGGAGGCCGGUGGGAAGCGGGAGCUGUUGUCCUGGAGGGAGGGCUGGGAGGCCGGCAGUCGGCACCGUGAGCCUUCGCCGGCUGGGCAAGCCUCCUGGGAGUCUAGGGCGUAGGAAUUUUAGGAUUUUUCAAAUGGGGCUUAGGACUCCUGGCUCCGGCCUUACUCGACUUUCCCCACAAGGACGGCUUCUCUGUCUUCCUUGGAGUUGGUGGGGUUUGGACCGUUAUUUUUGACGGUCCCCUGUGUGUAAGCACUGGUUAUCCUGCGCCGGGCGCCGUGCAGAGCGCCAUGAGGUAGAAGGGGGCGGGGGAUGCAGGAGGAGGGUUUAGAGAUGCUUGUGAUGUGGUCCUUACCUACGUGACGCGUUGGAGGUUGAGGUGAAAACUCUGGCUUUGAUACCUUCAUGGAGUACUACAUUAUUUCAGUCCUGAAUCUGGUUCCGUUCUCUUAUUGACUUAUUAUAUUAAAAAUGUUUUUGAAAUUGAUACUUGCUUUGGUAAAACCUUGCUAUUUAACAAGAAUUCUUGCAA